rnacentral:tRNA from 1 species
AAUGAGUUUAUAAACAAGUCUUCUAAAUUUGUUCUAGGUUAAUCACCUACUCAUUU